AACGAACGCCGGCGGCAUGCUUAACACAUGCAAGUCGAACGAACCCUCCAACUUCGGUUGGACGGUUAGUGGCGCACGGGUGCGUAACGCGUGGGAAUCUGCCCUUUGCUACGGAAUAACUCAGAGAAAUUUGUGCUAAUACCGUAUGAUGUCGAAAGACCAAAGAUUUAUCGGCAAAGGAUGAGCCCGCGUAGGAUUAGCUUGUUGGUGAGGUAAAAGCUCACCAAGGCGACGACCUUUAGCUGGUCUGAGAGGAUGAUCAGCCACACUGGGGACUGAGACACGGCCCAGACUCCUACGGGAGGCAGCAGUGGGGAAUAUUGGACAAUGGGCGAAAGCCUGAUCCAGCAAUGCCGCGUGAGUGAUGAAGGCCUUAGGGUUGUAAAGCUCUUUACCCGGGUACUGAUAAUGGCAGUACCGGGAGGAAUAAGCUCCGGCUAACUCCGUGCCAGCA
rnacentral:rRNA from 1 species